ensembl:lncRNA
GAAGAACCCAGAACCUUCCCCUCCAACUCCCCCAAUCAAGUUUCCUUUUUAAGUCCUAUUUUAACCUCCUCUCCCUUCCAAACUCCCUUACCCCGGAGGGAGAGAGAGAAAGUCCCGGAGAACUAACCCCCUUUUAACUGUUCAAUGCUUCUUCUUUUAGCACUGUUUUUACUCACCCCUUUUAUGGCUUUUAAAAUCACCACUAUAAAUGUGAGGAGUGUAAGAACAGCAACAAGAGCACAGUCGGUUUUAUCCUUUUUAGAAAGGUUUAACUCUGAUGUGUUUUUACUACAGGAGUGUGGUCUACCCUUUUUAUCCUCUUACAGGAAAUGGGGGGAUAAGUGGCAGCACGGGCCCUCCAUUUGGAGUGGCUCCAAUUUUAACAAGAACGACGGUGUUGCCAUUUUAAUCAAGACCCCACAGGUGGUGGUGAAGGGGAGCACGGUGGUGGAUCGGGAACCAGUAUGUCCAGUGCGCGGGCUCGCUAUAGGUGAGCCCACAACGGUUUGGCGCAACGUGGCCCACCCUGCUCUCCUGAAUCGGCAUCGGGACCUGUCCUGGAUGGUCGCCCACGAGAUCCUCCCGGUCAGGGCCGUUAUGCACUCACGGGGCAUGGCGAGGACAUCCGCGUGCCCCCGACCAGGCUGCGGCCAAGAAGAGUCGGUGAGGCACAUGCUCUGGGAGUGCAGAGCCGCCAGGGACCUGUGGAAGGAAGCAGGCCCCCUGAUCACCUCGUGUCUGCCAGCAGGGGAGGACCUAACACCUCAGCUCGUGCUGUAUGGGGUGGGCCGAAGGCCCAUUUCAUCGAAGACCUUCACCAAGCUCUGGCCCACCCUCACGUGCCUGAAGGAAGCACUGUGGUCCUCCCG